UACGUAGGGGGCUAGCGUUGUUCGGAUUUACUGGGCGUAAAGGGCGCGUAGGCGGCCAGCACAAGUCAGUUGUGAAAUCUCCGGGCUUAACUCGGAAAGGUCAACUGAUACUGUGCGGCUAGAGUGCAGAAGGGGCAACUGGAAUUCUCGGUGUAGCGGUGAAAUGCGUAGAUAUCGAGAGGAACACCUGCGGCGAAGGCGGGUUGCUGGGCUGACACUGACGCUGAGGCGCGAAAGCCAGGGGAGCGAACGGG
rnacentral:rRNA from 1 species